ensembl:lncRNA
UUUAUGUUACUGAUAAGUGAUAAGCUUUGGCACUGCUGAACUUUCCCACAUUUACUUAUCAGGCAUUUAUUUACUUUUUAUCUCUGUGAGCCAGAAGCUCAGACUCCUCUAAAUGCUCAGUUUUAGUCUUUUUAAUUUUUUUUUAAAUUGGAUUUUAUUAUGUCAGUGAGAGCAUACGUUCCUAAUACAGUUAGCUUAGGUGUAUAGCACAGAAGCCCCACCCACCUGGUGGAUAAACCUUCUGUCUUCAGCCAAUCAGGGGAACGUUUGUUUAGAGAGAGGAGAGGCGCUAAAACAUCUUGUUUUAGACAGAAGAACUGUGUGAGAAUCAUGCACAUCCACUUGAGUAGUCCUUAAUCCUGUCUUCCUUCUCUCACCCCAACCGGUCGCAGCAGAUGGCCCCGCCCCUCCCUGAGCCUGGUUCUGCCGGAGGUUUCUUCCUGUUAAAAGGGAGUUUUUCCUUCCCACUGUCGCCAAAUUGCUUGCUCAUAGGGGGUCAUAUGAUUGUUGGGGUUUUUUUUCUCUGUAUGUUUUAUUGUUACCUUACAAUAUAAAGCGCCUUGAGGCGAAUGUUGUUAUGAUUUGGCGCUAUAUAAAUAAAAUUGAAUUGAAUUGAACUGAACUGAAUAAAUGAAUCUUUUGAAAGCUUCUAUCAUUUUUACAGCCAGAAAGAUGGAUAAACCAGGUGAUGUUUUUUUUUUUUUUAGAUAGCUGUUCUUUAUUCUGAGCUUAAACCUAUAAAAGAUAAACAGCGAGACCGUUUACAUUUUGUCUUUAAGUCUGAUCUUUUGUCAUAUAAUGAUGAAUAAAACGUUCUCUUUUUGUAGUUUUAAGAAAAUGAAAUUUUAAUUUUGGUGUUAUUUUAAUCUUAGUCUGUUUGGAGUGACUGAGAACAUCUGCACACAUCUGUCACACAUACCACAUCCCUGCUUAUGUUUGCUUAUGUAAACCCUACCCUCAUAAAUUUGCACCAGCUACAUUAUAUAAGUGCAUGAUGUCAAUGUCCCUGGUAUUCAAAUAUGUAUUGCAGAACACAGAUUGAUAAAAACCUUAUCAUCCUCAAAGUUCAUUCACAUGCAUUGAAAUAGAAACACAUAAAUUUAGCAACCUCUCUCA